UUUUAAAUUCAAAAUUUUNNNCUAAAUAGUAUAUUUUUCAUCAAUUCCUUCAUUCUAGUUUUCAUUUAAAAAACAAUUGAUUAUGCUACCUUAGCACAGUCAGUAUACUGCGGCUAUUUAAUUAACCUCAUUGAGCAGAACAAAUCUUAAAUUAUWCUCAAAANNCCAUGUUUUUGAUAAACAGG
rnacentral:rRNA from 1 species